UACGUAGGGGGCAAGCGUUGUCCGGAUUUAUUGGGCGUAAAGAGCUCGUAGGCGGCUUGUCGCGUCGACUGUGAAAUCCCGCGGCUCAACUGCGGGUCUGCAGUCGAUACGGGCAGGCUAGAGUUCGGUAGGGGAGACUGGAAUUCCUGGUGUAGCGGUGAAAUGCGCAGAUAUCAGGAGGAACACCGGUGGCGAAGGCGGGUCUCUGGGCCGAUAUUGACGCUGAGGAGCGAAAGCGUGGGGAGCGAACGGG
rnacentral:rRNA from 1 species